rnacentral:tRNA from 1 species
GGGGGUAUAGCUCAGCUGGGAGAGCGCUUGCAUGGCAUGCAAGAGGUCAGCGGUUCGAUCCCGCUUA